AUGAGGAAAAAGAGAUUUCCUACUCAAAGGAAAUCAAAACUUAAACCAAGGGGUGAUGGACAUUUCCAAGUUCUUGAAAGGAUAAAUGAAAAUGCUUACAAACUUGAUCUACCCGAUGAAUAUAAUGCACCUGGAUCUGCAGUCCUGGGCGUGAGAUGGCUGGGGCACGAACGAGUGUAUGCCUGUGUGAAUUCCAAGAACUUGAUCGGAGUGUCAACCUGGACGAAAUGUGCCUGCAAUGGGGUUUUGGCACUUGAUGCUAUCUUCUGGACUUUCGUGGGGCAGUCUCCGUGA